rnacentral:rRNA from 1 species
AUUGAACGCUGGCGGCAGGCCUAACACAUGCAAGUCGAACGAGUGGCGGACGGGUGAGUAAUGUCUGGGAAACUGCCUGAUGGAGGGGGAUAACUACUGGAAACGGUAGCUAAUACCGCAUACCAUCGGAUGUGCCCAGAUGGGAUUAGCUAGUAGGUGGGGUAAAGGCGCACCUAGGCGACGAUCCCUAGCUGGUCUGAGAGGCUGACCAGCCACACGGGAACAGAGACACGGUCAAGACUCCGAGGGGAGGCAGCAGGGGGGAAUAUUGCACAAGGGGGGCAAGCCGGAUGCAGCCAUGCCGCGUGUAUGAAGAAGGCCUUCGGGUUGUAAAGUACUUUCAGCGGGGAGGCGUUACCCGCAGAAGAAGCACCGGCUAACUCCGUGCCAGCAGCCGCGGUAAUAC